rnacentral:rRNA from 1 species
AAGGAAUAUUGGUCAAUGGACGCAAGUCUGAACCAGCCAUGCCGCGUGGAGGAUUAAGGCCCUCUGGGUUGUAAACUCCUUUUAUCUGGGAAGAAAUGUACUUUUUCUUGAGUACUUGACGGUACCAGAGGAAUAAGCACCGGCUAACUCCGUGCCAGCAGCCGCGGUAAUACGGAGGGUGCAAGCGUUAUCCGGAUUCACUGGGUUUAAAGGGUGCGUAGGUGGGCAGGUAAGUCAGUGGUGAAAUCUCCGGGCUUAACCCGGAAACUGCCGUUGAUACUAUUUGUCAUGAAUAUUGUGGAGGUAAGCUGAAUAUGUCAUGUCGCGGUGAAAUGCUUAGAUAUGACAUAGAACACCAAUUGCGAAGGCAGCUUACUACACAAUCAUUGACGCUGAGGCACGAAGGCGUGGGGAUCAAACA